rnacentral:rRNA from 2 species
UGCAAGUCGAACAGGUACCAGCAGCUUGCUGCUUCGCUGACGAGUGGCGGACGGGUGAGAUAAUGUCUGGGAAACUGCCUGAUGGAGGGGGAUAACUACUGGAAACGGUAGCUAAUACCGCAUAACGUCGCAAGACCAAAGAGGGGGACCUUCGGGCCUCUUGCCAUCGGAUGUGCCCAGAUGGGAUUAGCUAGUAGGUGGGGUAACGGCUCACCUAGGCGACGAUCCCUAGCUGGUCUGAGAGGAUGACCAGCCACACUGGAACUGAGACACGGUCCAGACUCCUACGGGAGGCAGCAGUGGGGAAUAUUGCACAAUGGGCGCAAGCCUGAUGCAGCCAUGCCGCGUGUAUGAAGAAGGCCUUCGGGUUGUAAAGUACUUUCAGCGGGGAGGAAGGCGAUGAGGUUAAUAACCUCAUCGAUUGACGUUACCCGCAGAAGAAGCACCGGCUAACUCCGUGCCAGCAGCCGCGGUAAUACGGAGGGUGCAAGCGUUAAUCGGAAUUACUGGGCGUAAAGCGCACGCAGGCGGUCUGUCAAGUCGGAUGUGAAAUCCCCGGGCUCAACCUGGGAACUGCAUUCGAAACUGGCAGGCUAGAGUCUUGUAGAGGGGGGUAGAAUUCCAGGUGUAGCGGUGAAAUGCGUAGAGAUCUGGAGGAAUACCGGUGGCGAAGGCGGCCCCCUGGACAAAGACUGACGCUCAGGUGCGAAAGCGUGGGGAGCAAACAGGAUUAGAUACCCUGGUAGUCCACGCCGUAAACGAUGUCGACUUGGAGGUUGUGCCCUUGAGGCGUGGCUUCCGGAGCUAACGCGUUAAGUCGACCGCCUGGGGAGUACGGCCGCAAGGUUAAAACUCAAAUGAAUUGACGGGGGCCCGCACAAGCGGUGGAGCAUGUGGUUUAAUUCGAUGCAACGCGAAGAACCUUACCUACUCUUGACAUCCAGAGAACUUUCCAGAGAUGGAUUGGUGCCUUCGGGAACUCUGAGACAGGUGCUGCAUGGCUGUCGUCAGCUCGUGUUGUGAAAUGUUGGGUUAAGUCCCGCAACGAGCGCAACCCUUAUCCUUUGUUGCCAGCGGUCCGGCCGGGAACUCAAAGGAAACUGCCAGUGAUAAACUGGAAGGAAAGGUGGGGAUGACGUCCAAGUCAUCAUGGGCCCU